AGUGAACGCUGGCGGUAGGCCUAACACAUGCAAGUCGAACGGCAGCACAGUAAGAGCUUGCUCUUACGGGUGGCGAGUGGCGGACGGGUGAGGAAUACAUCGGAAUCUACUUUUUCGUGGGGGAUAACGUAGGGAAACUUACGCUAAUACCGCAUACGACCUACGGGAGAAAGCAGGGGAUCUUCGGACCUUGCGCGAUUGAAUGAGCCGAUGUCGGAUUGGCUAGUUGGCGGGGUAAAGGCCCACCAAGGCGACGAUCCGUAGCUGGUCUGAGAGGAUGAUCAGCCACACUGGAACUGAGACACGGUCCAGACUCCUACGGGAGGCAGCAGUGGGGAAUAUUGGACAAUGGGCGCAAGCCUGAUCCAGCCAUACCGCGUGGGUGAAGAAGGCCUUCGGGUUGUAAAGCCCUUUUGUUGGGAAAGAAAAGCAGCAGGUUAAUACCCCGCUGUUCUGACGGUACCCAAAGAAUAAGCACCGGCUAACUUCGUG
rnacentral:rRNA from 1 species